UUCUGCCAGUGGAAUAUGCUUGUUUCAAAGAUUAAGCCAUGCAUGUCUGAGCAUGCGCUGAAGUAGAGUGAAGCCGCGAAUAGCUCAUUACAACAGCCGUUGUUUCUUGGAUCUCUUCUCUACUUGGAUAACUGUGGUAAUUCUAGAGCUAAUACAUGCAAUCGAGCCCUGAACGUGAGUGACGGGCGCAUUUAUUAGAACAAGACCAUCCGGCCUCGUGUCGUACUUUGGUGACUCUGAAUAACUGAGCCGAUCGCACGGGCUCGUCCCGGCGACGUAUCUUUCAAGUGUCUGCCUUAUCAGGUUUCGUUGGCGGUUUAUGUGACCGCCAAGCCUGUAACGGGUAACGGAGGAUCAGGGUCUGACUCCGGAGAGGGAGCCUGAGAAACGGCUACCACUUCUAAGGAAGGCAGCAGGCGCGCAAAUUACCCAUUCUUGGCUCGAGGAGGUAGUGAUGAAAAAUACCGAGGUCAGGCUCAUCGAGCUUGACCAUUGGAAUGAGAACGAAUCUAAAUCCUUUAACGAGGAUCUAGU
rnacentral:rRNA from 1 species